rnacentral:rRNA from 1 species
GACGAACGCUGGCGGCGUGCCUAAUACAUGCCAGUCGAGCGGACAGACGGGAGCUUGCUCCCUGAUGUUAGCGGCGGACGGGUGAGUAACACGUGGGUAACCUGCCUGUAAGACUGGGAUAACUCCGGGAAACCGGGGCUAAUACCGGAUGGUUGUCUGAACCGCAUGGUUCAGACAUAAAAGGUGGCUUCGGCUACCACUUACAGAUGGACCCGCGGCGCAUUAGCUAGUUGGUGAGGUAACGGCUCACCAAGGCAACGAUGCGUAGCCGACCUGAGAGGGUGAUCGGCCACACUGGGACUGAGACACGGCCCAGACUCCUACGGGAGGCAGCAGUAGGGAAUCUUCCGCAAUGGACGAAAGUCUGACGGAGCAACGCCGCGUGAGUGAUGAAGGUUUUCGGAUCGUAAAGCUCUGUUGUUAGGGAAGAACAAGGGCCGUUCAAAUAGGGCGGCACCUUGACGGUACCUAACCAGAAAGCCACGGCUAACUACGUG